UGCAGAGAACUUUCCAGAGAUGGAUUGGUGCCUUCGGGAACUCUGACACAGGUGCUGCAUGGCUGUCGUCAGCUCGUGUCGUGAGAUGUUGGGUUAAGUCCCGUAACGAGCGCAACCCUUGUCCUUAGUUACCAGCACGUUAUGGUGGGCACUCUAAGGAGACUGCCGGUGACAAACCGGAGGAAGGUGGGGAUGACGUCAAGUCAUCACGGCCCUUACGGCCUGGGCUACACACGUGCUACAAUGGUCGGUACAAAGGGUUGCCAAGCCGCGAGGUGGAGCUAAUCCCAUAAAACCGAUCGUAGUCCGGAUCGCAGUCUGCAACUCGACUGCGUGAAGUCGGAAUCGCUAGUAAUCGUGAAUCAGAAUGUCACGGUGAAUACGUUCCCGGGCCUU
rnacentral:rRNA from 1 species